rnacentral:rRNA from 1 species
AUGGCCCCCACCGCCCUCCUCCUCCUCGUCCUCGCCGUCGCCGCCCUCCACGCCCCCGCCGCCAACGCCGCGUUGUCCCAGGAGCCACCAGCGACCCCGUGCGCGGCGGCCAUCGUGUCCUUCUCGCCGUGCCUGGCGCACGUCGCGGUGGUGGCGCCGCCCGCCCUGCCCUCGCCCGCGCCCACCAGCGCCUGCUGCGCGGCGUUCCUGCGCGCCGUUUCCGCCGGGGACGGCGAAGGCGGCGGAGGGGAGGGAUGCCUCUGCCACCUGCUCCGCGACCCGCUCCUCCUCGGCUUCCCCGUCGACGCCGCGCGCCUCGGCGCUCUCCUCCCCACCUGCGCCUCCGCGAAAACCUCCGCCGCCACGGCCGUCGAGGCCGAGGCCCUCUUCGCCGACAAGUGCCGAGGUGAGAAAUCUGUCCCUUCGUGCUCCCUAUUUAUGCUCGUGCAAUAUGUAUGCUCCGAUCAAUUCUCGUGCGCCAUAUGCGCGUGCUGUCGCGUUCCUGUUGUUGAUCGCCGACCGAAACAAAUUUUACUCUGCAAAGUCCUAACUACUGUUGUUCUCAUUAUCCUCGUACAACUACUUUCGUAA